AUGCCUCGGCAGUACAUAUAUUAUACAACUGGAACGGUACAGAGACGAUUAGCAUGGCCCCUGCGCAAGGGUGACACGGAAAACUGUGAAGAGUUCCAUAUCUUU